GACAGAGGUCCCAAGCGUUAGGCGGAAUCACUGGGCUUAAAGCGUGUGUAGGCGGUUUUGUAAGUACCUUGUGAAAUCCCACGGCUCAACCGUGGAACUGCUUGGUAUACUGCUUAUCUUGGGCCAUCUAGGGGCGAGCGGAACAACCGGUGGAGCGGUGAAAUGCGUAGAUAUCGGUUGGAACGCCAAUGGUGAAAACAGCUCGCUGGGGAUGUGCCGACGCUGAGAUACGAAAGCCAGGGGAGCGAACGGG
rnacentral:rRNA from 1 species